AGGCCGUCGUCCUCGUCGGCGGCCGCCCCUCCGCUGUUGCUAUCACCAACGACGUGGGUACCAUUCUCCUGCCGAGCGAAGGCAAAGAGCAAGUAGGAACGGCGGCGGCUUCCCGGCCAUGGGAUUGCUGCGACAACACCAUAUGCACCAGGUCCUUGCCGCCUAUCUGCAUCUGUCUGGACGAGGUCGACGAGUGCGCCUCCAUUCCGCCGCGUGUGCGGAGACCAGUACUUCGGCGACCCCGGGCCCAAGUGCACCAACACCCUCGUCGGCGACCACAACGAAGACGCCCUCGAUGCCAAAGGUGAUCACCAAGCGAGCGUAGCGGUGGCGGCGGCGGCGAAGAACGGGGCAGAGGAGGAGAAGCCGUGGGAGUGCUGUGACAUGCCUCUGUGCACCAGGUCAUACCCGCCGAUGUGCCGCUGCGUGGACCAGGUCGAGCAGUGCGCUACAACAUGCAAGAGCUGCGGGGUGUCCAUCUUGAACCCGUUCCGCCGCGUCUGCAACGACUGGUACAACGGCUUCCCAGGUCGCAGGUGCACCGAGGCCGCCGGCAGCGGCGGUAAUAACUAGCACCGGCGUUCAUCAUCUGAUCAACGCCGUCAACCGUGCACUUGAGUUGCUCCUACAUGCACUGUGUGACAAUAAAAUAAGAAAUGGAUGGCCGGCUGGCCUGCUACCGCUACUGCUUGCCUGAAUGGUGAUCAGGCAACCAUGCAUGAAUAAUGACAAGUCGAGCGUCUCUAUGUUGAAAUAUUUCAAUCAUGAACGGUGUGGUUUUUUUCAUGACAAGUUAAAUUGCUUA